GCAGAGGGCUCGAAUUUCCAUAUCUGAAACACUGUGAUUGCGAGAUUUAAAAACAGGCUGGUUGGCAUCAUUGGCAUUGACUGCACGCCGAUGCUCACCAAACCUUGUCCUGAAAGGUCUUCCAGUUUCUCCAAUAUAAAGCAUGCCACGUCUCCUGCAUGAGAUGCAGUAGAUGAGAUGGGAGGAGGUGCACGUGAAAAUAUCGUUUAUUUAAAGCUAAAAUCUAAAUCGGCCCGAUUAAUCGUUGUGUGUAAACGUACCUUAAUGGUUAUUGCCGCGUACUUGAACCUCUUGAA